rnacentral:rRNA from 1 species
UACGAAGGGGGCUAGCGUUGCUCGGAAUCACUGGGCGUAAAGGGUGCGUAGGCGGGUCUUUAAGUCAGGGGUGAAAUCCUGGAGCUCAACUCCAGAACUGCCUUUGAUACUGAAGAUCUUGAGUUCGGGAGAGGUGAGUGGAACUGCGAGUGUAGAGGUGAAAUUCGUAGAUAUUCGCAAGAACGACCAGUGGCGAAGGCGGCUCACUGGCC